rnacentral:rRNA from 1 species
CCUACCCCCAGGAGGGGGGAUAACCCCGGGAAACCGGGGCUAAUACCCCAUAAUGCCACCCGCCACUAAGGCGUGGUGGCCAAAGGGGGCCUCUGGCCUUUGGCCAUGCUCCCGCCUGGGGAUGGGCCCGCGGCCCAUCAGGUAGUUGGUGGGGUAACGGCCCACCAAGCCUAUGACGGGUAGCCGGCCUGAGAGGGUGGCCGGCCACAGCGGGACUGAGACACGGCCCGCACCCCUACGGGGGGCAGCAGUGGGGAAUCGUGGGCAAUGGGCGAAAGCCUGACCCCGCGACGCCGCGUGGGGGAAGAAGCCCUGCGGGGUGUAAACCCCUGUCGGGGGGGACGAAGCGGCUAUGGGUUAAUAGCCCAUAGUCGUGACGGUACCCCCAGAGGAAGGGACGGCUAACUACGUGCCAGCAGCCGCGGUAAUACGUAGGUCCCGAGCGUUGCGCGAAGUCACUGGGCGUAAAGCGUCCGCAGCCGGUCGGGUAAGCGGGAUGUCAAAGCCCACGGCUCAACCGUGGAAUGGCAUCCCGAACUGCCCGACUUGAGGCACGCCCGGGCAGGCGGAAUUCCCGGGGUAGCGGUGAAAUGCGUAGAUCUCGGGAGGAACACCGAAGGGGAAGCCAGCCUGCUGGGGCUGUCCUGACGGUCAGGGACGAAAGCCGGGGGAGCAAACCGGAUUAGAUACCCGGGUAGUCCCGGCCGUAAACCAUGGGCGCUAGGGCUUGUCCCUUUGGGGCAGGCUCGCAGCUAACGCGUUAAGCGCCCCGCCUGGGGAGUACGGGCGCAAGCCUGAAACUCAAAGGAAUUGGCGGGGGCCCGCACAACCGGUGGAGCGUCUGGUUCAAUUCGAUGCUAACCGAAGAACCUUACCCGGGCUUGACAUGCUGGGGAGACUCCGCGAAAGCGGAGUUGUGGAAGUCCCUAGGACUUCCCCCCAGCACAGGUGGUGCAUGGCCGUCGUCAGCUCGUGUCGUGAGAUGUUGGGUUAAGUCCCGCAAC